UCUCUCAGUUGGUAGAGCAUGAGACUUUUAAUCUCAGGCUCAUGGGUUUGAGCCCUCAUGAGGAAAA